rnacentral:rRNA from 1 species
AGCGAACGCUGGCGGCACGUUUUAAGCAUGCAAGUCGAAUGGCAGUGGGAGCUUGCUCCUACGAGAAUGGCGAACGGGUGAGUAACACGUAGGUGAUCUGCCUUGAGGAUGGGGAUAGCUUGUGGAAACACAGGGUAAUACCGAAUGAGCUGACGGAACUUUGGUUUUGUUAGUAAAGGUGCUACGGCACCGCCUUAAGAGGAGCCUGCGGCUGAUUAGCUAGUUGGUGGGGUAAAGGCCUACCAAGGCGACGAUCAGUAGCCGGCCUGAGAGGGUGUACGGCCACACUGGAACUGAGACACGGUCCAGACUCCUACGGGAGGCAGCAGCUAAGAAUCUUCCGCAAUGGGCGAAAGCCUGACGGAGCGAUGCCGCGUGAUCGAUGAAGGUCGAGAGAUUGUAAAGAUCUUUUCCACAUGAGGAAUAAGCAUAGGAGGGAAUGCCUGUGUGAUGACGUUAGUGUGGGAAUAAGCCCCGGCUAAUUACGUGCCAGCCGCCGCCGUAAAAC